rnacentral:rRNA from 1 species
GAUGAACGCUGGCGGCGUGCCUAAUACAUGCAAGUCGAGCAAACAGACGAGGAGCUUGCUCCUCUGACGUUAGCGGCGGACGGGUGAGUAACACGUGGAUAACCUACCUAUAAGACUGGGAUAACUUCGGGAAACCGGAGCUAAUACCGGAUAAUAUAUUGAACCGCAUGGUUCAAUAGUGAAAGACGGUUUUGCUGUCACUUAUAGAUGGAUCCGCGCCGCAUUAGCUAGUUGGUAAGGUAACGGCUUACCAAGGCGACGAUGCGUAGCCGACCUGAGAGGGUGAUCGGCCACACUGGAACUGAGACACGGUCCAGACUCCUACGGGAGGCAGCAGUAGGGAAUCUUCCGCAAUGGGCGAAAGCCUGACGGAGCAACGCCGCGUGAGUGAUGAAGGUCUUCGGAUCGUAAAACUCUGUUAUUAGGGAAGAACAAAUGUGUGAGUAACUAUGCACGUCUUGACGGUACCUAAUCAGAAAGCCACGGCUAACUACGUGC